rnacentral:misc_RNA from 1 species
AACGCACAUUGCGCCCUCUGGUAUUCCGGGGGGCAUGCCUGUCCGAGCGUCAUUACACCACUCAAGCUCCGCUUGGUAUUGGGACCUCGCCCCCCAACCGGGGCGUGCCCGAAAGUUAGCGGCGACGUGCCCGGCACCCAAGCGCAUUAAACAUACGUUCGCUUGAGGCCCGCGGGGAGCGUCAGCCGGCCAACCACCCAAUCUUCAAUGAUUGACCUCGGAUCAGGUAGGGAUACCCGCUGAACUUAA